CCCGGGCCGCCCAGCAGCCCCGAGGCUUCCAGAAAGCCUGUCCCAUCCCAAACCACUGCUCCUUCCCUGGAAGGGAGAGCUCUGGUCCAGAUCUCCAAACAAAGCACGUGUGCUUUCCUUCUACGACUCAGUGGUGCCAGGAAAAGCAAAAAAUGCAGACACUAAACAACAGCUUUACAGUGAUUUUUGGAUCGAGGAAAUGAAAGACUCAGCAAGCUGGAGGCGAAGAGAGUUUCAACAUUGGCAUCUGUGAACGGCAGCAAUAAAUCUGAGAUUCUGGCAGUGAUGUCAUUUGCUGAAGACACACUCCUGGAAUCUCUGAGGGGUUGGUCCACUCUCCAGAUCUGCAUGCCAGACUGCACCUACUCUUUGCUGUCCUCCGCAGCGGGGCACUUACUCUGAAAGCGGAGUCCUGAGAGG